rnacentral:rRNA from 1 species
AUUGAACGAUGGCGGCAGGCCAAACACAUGCAAAUCGGACGAGUGGCGGACGGGUGAGUCAUGUCUGGGAAACUGCCUGAUGGAGUUUGAUAACUACUGGAAACGGUUGCUAAUACCUCAUACCAUCGGGUGUGCCCAGAUGGGAGUAGCUAGUAGGUGGGGUAACGGCUCACCUAGGCGACGAUCCCUAGCUGGUCUGAGAGGAUGGCCAGCGGGACUGGAACAGAGACACGGUCCAGAGUCCUGCGGGAGGCAGUAGUGGGGAAGAUUGGACAAGGGGCGACAGCCGGAGUCAGUGAGCGCGCGUAUGUGAAGAAGGUCUUCGGAUUGGAAAGCACUUUAGGUUGGGAGGCGUUACCAACAGAAUAGGCACCGGCAUACUUCGUGCCAGCAGCCGCGGUAAUAC